rfam:Aedes albopictus isolate Foshan contig87393, whole genome shotgun sequence.
UAGCCUAGAGGUUAAGGCUAUGGAUCGCCAAUCCGGAGACGGCGGGUUCGAUUCCCGU